GUAGCUCAGCGGUACGGUGCAUGCCUUGCAAGCAUGAGGCCCUGGGUUCGAUUCCUCAGC
rnacentral:tRNA from 1 species